UGUAUCACAUGUUAAUGCUCGUUUUAAGUUUUAUGGGUUUGCAACUUAAAUGUAUUGGAUGGGUGUUUUGGAAACAGGUGUAGCCCCUAUCAAUCUGGGGACUUAACCAAGAGGGAUAGAGUAAUUGAUGGGGUUGAGUAAUUGAUGGGAUUAUUAGGUUGGUCAACAGGAUCUGUCUGUCACAUCACAACUGGCAUCACGAGGGAUUACUCCUAAGCUGAGACUAAACAAAUAGUGGACUUAGUGGACUAUAGAACAUGGUUAUGUUGUCUCUUGUUCAUGAGUAAAGAAAUAUUAUAUGUAAUGGAUGUUGCUAUUCUCUGCUUCUAAAGAGUAAUCAUCCCCAUGGAAGGAGCAAUAUAUCAUGAUUACUCUAUUUGACUUGAGAUUGGUUUUUGAUGACAUUUGAAAGUAUACGUGCAAAUGAAGAUCAACUGUUGAAUUUUGUUUCCUGAACUGAUACUUAGUUGUAGUUGUAAAUUAAGAUUGAGUGUUGAUUUUUUUUGUGUGGAUUCCACGUUAGUUCAUUUUGGGAUUUGCUUUGGUGGUUUUUUUGUUAUACUUAAUGGUUUAUAUUAUUAAAGUUGUUUGAUGGAUAUAU